rnacentral:rRNA from 1 species
AAUAUUGCGCAAUGGGGGGAACCCUGACGCAGCAACGCCGCGUGAGUGAAGAAGGCCUUCGGGUCGUAAAACUCUGUCAUUGGGGAAGAAAAAAAUGACGGUACCCAAUGAGGAAUCCCCGGCUAACUACGUGCCAGCAGCCGCGGUAAUACGUAGGGGGCAAGCGUUGUCCGGAUUUACUGGGCGUAAAGGGCGCGUAGGCGGUAGAUUAAGUCAGAUGUGAAAGUCCAGGGCUCAACCCUGGAAUUGCAUUUGAAACUGGUUUACUUGAGUGCAGGAGAGGAGAGCGGAAUUCCUAGUGUAGCGGUGAAAUGCGUAGAUAUUAGGAAGAACACCAGUGGCGAAGGCGGCUCUCUGGACUGUAACUGACGCUGAGGCGCGAAAGCGUGGGUAGCGAACA